AUAAUAAUCUCGACUAAUUCGUUUCAGGAUUCAUAUGGCCUACAAAAACUGAGGCAGACCGUGGGAAACUCCAGCUACACCAACAGGUUCCCAGUUCCUUUGUCUCUUGAAGUAAUCAGAUCACGGCUUGAGAACAACUAUUACCGGAGUAUGGAAGCACUAAGACAUGACGUAUCAGUAAUGUUGUCGAAUGCAGAAACUUUCUUUGGUCG